rnacentral:rRNA from 1 species
UACGUAGGGGGCAAGCGUUGUCCGGAUUUAUUGGGCGUAAAGAGCUCGUAGGCGGUUUGGUAAGUCAGGUGUGAAAUCUCCACGCUCAACGUGGAGGGGCCACCUGGAUACUGCCAUGACUGGAGUCCGGUAGAGGAGUGGUGGAAUUCCCGGUGUAGCGGUGAAAUGCGCAGAUAUCGGGAGGAACACCCGUAGCGAAGGCGGCACUCCUGGGCCGGUACUGACG